rnacentral:lncRNA from 1 species
UAAAUCAUCAACCACUGCUAUAUCAGAAUCAGUGAAGCUGUAGUGAGUGAUAUCCCUUGGAUUCUGAGAAAGCUUGUGAAGUCUUGUUUCUAAAAGGUAAUGUAAGACCUGAUCCUUUGAAGCAUCAACUUGUCUCUUGAAUAUUCACCUUGUAUGGGAUAUAGAGAGACCCUAUUUCUGUGCACUGAAAGGUCAGAAACUGGGUCUGUGAGA